ACAGCAGAUGGCGCUCUAGGCUAGUUUUUAACAGCAGAUGGUGCUUUGGACUAGUUUUUUAAAGCAGGUGGUGCUCGAGGCUAGUUUUUAUCAGCAGAUGGUGCUCUAAGUUAGUUUGUAAUAGCAGUUUUUAAUAGCAGACAGUGCUCUUGGCUAGUUUGAAAUAGCAUACGAUGCUCUAGGCUAGUUUUUAAUAGCGCUUUUAAUAGCAUUUUUAAUAGCGCUCUAGGCUAGUUUUUAACAUCAGAUAGUGCUCUAGGCUAGUUUUAAUAGCAGAUGGUGCUUGUAGCAGAUGUCAUGUGUGUUUAAAUCUUAAGUAAUCAUCUUCAGCAAAGACAGAAAUGGAAUAAGAAUCGCAGGAAUGUUAAAGUGAAUGACAUAGUAAUCCUUAAAGAUGAUGUUUCACCACGUAACAAGUGGAAAUUGGCAAAGGUGGUAGACGUGUACCAAGGAAAGGAUGGCAAAGUGAGACAAGUCAAGUUGUUAAUGAGUGACUCUUCGCUUGAUGGAAAGGGUAAGCGAUUGUCUAAACCAAGUUACCUUGAGCGUCCAAUACAGAAGGUAGUCAUUCUUCUUGAAGCUGAUUGAAGACUGCUUGAUUUCACACUAUCACUCCAUGGGUUGCAUUAUUUUUCAUAAUUGUGUUUAAGUGUGAUUUAUAAAACAGGAAAAAAUCACAAGUGAUUUGGUGGGAGUGUAGCAGAUGUCAUGUGUGUUUAAGAUCUUAUGCCAGUUCACCUAGGAACUAAUUAAGGCGGAGCUAAUUUCAGGGGGAACUAUAAAAAUGAUGCACCACUGUGAGUAGAGAGACCAAUGCAUUCACUUCCAAGCAUUCAACAAGCUAAGGAAUGCUUAUGCUUUUCUUGAGUUUCUCCCUUCCGUAACCAGCCAAUGAGUUCUUACGUCUGGUACACCCCUGAUGUCUUGUGGUUUGCUCUAUGUUGAGAACUGAAGACUUGCUAUGAAAAUAAACCAGUCAGUAGAAAUCA